UACGUAGGGGGCUAGCGUUGUCCGGAUUUAUUGGGCGUAAAGAGCGUGUAGGCGGCCAGGUAGGUCUGCUGUGAAAACUCGAGGCUCAACCUCGAGAUGUCGGCGGAAACCAUCUGGCCAGAGUCCGGAAGAGGAAAGUGGAAUUCCUGGUGUAGCGGUGAAAUGCGCAGAUAUCAGGAGGAACACCGGUGGCGAAGGCGGCUAUCUGGACAGAGUCUGACGCUGAGGCGCGAAAGCUAGGGGAGCAAACAGG
rnacentral:rRNA from 1 species